AACCAUGACGUGAUGACGUCUCUCGCACGUGACGCCAAUUACUACAGGAAAAAAUAUGAAGAACUGAGAGAGGACCGCAACAAGGCCUUACAAUGGGAGGACGCUACACAGAAAAGCAUUCUAAGAUGUCCGUCUAUAGCAUUUGAUCACGAGACAGGC